rnacentral:rRNA from 1 species
AGUAUAGCAAACUAUACGGUGAAACUGCGAAUGGCUCAUUAAAUCAGUUAUCGUUUAUUUGAUAGAUACCUUACUACAUGGAUAACCGUGGUAAUUCUAGAGCUAAUACAUGCUAAAAACCUCGACUUCGGAAGGGGUGUAUUUAUUAGAUAAAAAACCAAUGCCCUUCGGGGCUCCUUGGUGAAUCAUAAUAACUUAACGAAUCGCAUGGCCUUGCGCCGGCGAUGGUUCAUUCAAAUUUCUGCCCUAUCAACUUUCGAUGGUAGGAUAGUGGCCUACCAUGGUAUCAACGGGUAACGGGGAAUUAGGGUUCGACUCCGGAGAGGGAGCCUGAGAAACGGCUACCACAUCCAAGGAAGGCAGCAGGCGCGCAAAUUACCCAAUCCCGACACGGGGAGGUAGUGACAAUAAAUACUGAUACAGGGCUCUUUUGGGUCUUGUAAUUGGAAUGAGUACAAUUUAAAUCCCUUAACGAGGAACAAUUGGAGGGCAAGUCUGGUGCCAGCAGCCGCGGUAAUUCCAGCUCCAAUAGCGUAUAUUAAAGUUGUUGCAGUUAAAAAGCUCGUAGUUGAACCUUGGGCCUGGCUGGCCGGUCCGCCUCACCGCGUGUACUGGUCCGGCCGGGCCUUUCCUUCUGGGGAACCUCAUGCCCUUCACUGGGCGUGUUGGGGAACCAGGACUUUUACUUUGAAAAAAUUAGAGUGUUCAAAGCAGGCCUUUGCUCGAAUACAUUAGCAUGGAAUAAUAGAAUAGGACGUGUGGUUCUAUUUUGUUGGUUUCUAGGACCGCCGUAAUGAUUAAUAGGGAUAGUCGGGGGCAUCAGUAUUCAAUCGUCAGAGGUGAAAUUCUUGGAUUGAUUGAAGACUAACUACUGCGAAAGCAUUUGCCAAGGAUGUUUUCAUUAAUCAGUGAACGAAAGUUAGGGGAUCGAAGACGAUCAGAUACCGUCGUAGUCUUAACCAUAAACUAUGCCGACUAGGGAUCGGACGGUGUUAGUAUUUUGACCCGUUCGGCACCUUACGAGAAAUCAAAGAUUUGGGUUA